rnacentral:rRNA from 1 species
CAUUAAAGAGUUCUAUAACUCCCAAACCCAUGUGAACAUACCUAACGUUGCCUCGGCAGGUCGCACCUACCUUGUAGCACCCUACCCUGUAGGGCCUACCCGGGAGGUGCGGGUAAGCCUGCCGGCGGCCCACCAAACUCUGUUUGAUAUUGAAUUCUGAACCUAUAACUAAAUAAGUUAAAACUUUCAACAACGGAUCUCUUGGUUCUGGCAUCGAUGAAGAACGCAGCGAAAUGCGAUAAGUAAUGUGAAUUGCAGAAUUCAGUGAAUCAUCGAAUCUUUGAACGCAUAUUGCGCCCAUUAGUAUUCUAGUGGGCAGGACCGUUCGAGCGUCAUUUCAACCCUUAAGCCUUCGUUGCUUAGUGUUGGGAGCCUACGGCAACGUAGCUCCUCAAAGUUAGUGGCGGAGUUGGUUCACACUCUAGACGUAGUAAUUUUUUAUCUCGCCUAUUAGUUGGACUAAUCCCCUGCCGUAAAACCCCCAAUUUAUCAAGGUUGACCUCGAAUCGGUUCAGACAAACUCGCUAAAUUGAAGCAUCUUAGUCAGCGAAGGAAAAGAAACCAACAGGGAUUGCCCUAGUAACGGCGAGUGAAGCGGCAACAGCUCAAAUUUGAAAUCUGGCCCUCGGGUCCGAGUUGUAAUUUGUAGAGGAUGCUUUUGGCGCGGUGCCUUCCGAGUUCCCUG